rnacentral:lncRNA from 1 species
AACAAGUUAAUCCAUACACGAAUCGAUCGAGGAGAAAAUUAAAGAAAUAUAAUCGAAACAAGAAAAUCAGAUAAAGCAUCAAAGAGGGUCAUGCUUCUAGGGCGCCUGCAUCGCCAGUCAGGUCCGCCUGUGCCGCCAGCUUGGCGUUGGCCGGCCCGGGUGCCCGUGCCGUCGCCUCCCCACAAGCACGCAUCCAGAUACACCUAUGCCGCCGGCCAGGUCUUCCGCGCACAUCGGCCAUGUGCGCCUGUGUCGCUGCCUCCGCGAAGCCUGGCCAGGCCUAAUUCGCACACGGUGGAAGAAAGGAGGAGUAGGGAGGAGCAACGGCUAGAUGGGUAAGCGGCGUAGGCAAGCUACGCUAGCACUGGGAUCAGCUGUCGUACCGACGAGCGAGUGUGAGCGAGGAACUUCGUGAGCGAGCGGCGGCCAUGCCUGUUCGUGUGUCCUGGACAUGUCUGUUCCUUUAUUAAUCAUAUUGAAGAAAUGUGACACACGUACAUGGGCUAGGGCAAAGGCCCAAUAUUUAACAACCGACCAAGGCCAACCCAAAUUUGUUCAAAAAAAUAUUCAUUGUACUACAAAAUUAUAAUAAAGAAAAAUAAAUAUUUAAAAUAAUAUAUAUCUAUAUACCUCUGUAUAACUAAUAUUAAAUACUUCCUGCGUUCCAAAUUAUAAGUCAUUCCAAGAAUCUUGAGAGUCAAAACAUUUUCAAAUUUGACCAAAAAUAUAGAGAGAAAUAUAAAAAUUUAUAUCAUAAAAUAGGUACACUAUGAAAAUAUAACUAAUAAAGAAUCUUAUGAUACUUGGUUGGUACCAAAAAUGUUAUUAUUUUGCUAUAUAAAUUUAGUCAAACUUGAAAAACUUUGACUCUCCAAGAUUCUUGGAAUGACUUAUAAUUUGGGUGUGUGGCCAUAAUUUUCGUCUGACAUCUCUUCCUCGGCCCUCAGACAAAAAUAAGGAAAGAAGAAAUCGGCCAAAAAAUCCAACUCGAAUAAAAAAGAGCUCUAAAUCGAACACAUACUAUGCUAUCGUACACAAGCCCUACCAUAAAAAUCCAUCACAAAAACAACAUUCUUCAAAUCUUGCACAAGGAUCCAAAAUUCAUACCAAAAUCGACCAUAAAUUAAAUACAUUUAGGCAGUAGAUUGAAUCGAACUGUAUAACCAUUCGAAAUCGAAAAAAGACAGUUCAAAGAAGGGAAGGAAGGAAAAAUCCGUAAUCAUGCCACAACAGCAUCAGAUCGAGAGGGAGGAGGCGCGCUAAAGGAUGCGGAUGGAGGUGGCGCACCAACAUCAGAUCGAGAGAGAGGAAGCGCGCUAGAGGAUGCGGGUGGAGAUGAUGCACCGAAGGAAACUCCCUGUGUUUGGCUCUCGUGCGCCACCGACCGGCCUAAUGACGCCACCAUCAAACACCGGUAACUCCAAACGGCUCGGCCACAACUCCGGAUCUACAUGCUCGUGGGCUAGCGAAGGGGGCGCCGAGGUCACCUACUUGCCUGAAUCCAAGCGCGUGGCGGAGCGGAUGCGGGCCUCUGAAUCCAAGCGUGUGGAGUUGGGGAGGAAGCGAGCAAAUGUCAUUUGCCUUGGAGCAAGGGGCGACGGCCGACGGGUGAAUGGAUGACGGACCAAAGGACAUGCGUUUGGAUAUAUGCAGCAGAAAGAUGUGGAGCAGGAGGUGCCACGUAAGUAUUCUCUCCUCUUGAUUUUCCUGAAUUAAUCUCCUCUUCGGCUUUAUGAAGCUCUUCUCUUGGUUUGGGCCUUAUUUAGUUUUAAAAUUUCUUAACAAAAUGGAUACUGUAACACUUCGUUUGCAAUCAUAUUAACUACACUUAAAAAAAUCGUCUCGCAAAUUACAGUCAAACUAUACAAUUAGUUAUUUUUUAAUCUAUAUUUAAUGCUCUAUGCAUAUGCCG